rnacentral:rRNA from 1 species
AGUGAACGCUGGCGGUAGGCCUAACACAUGCAAGUCGAACGGCAGCACAGUAAGAGCUUGCUCUUACGGGUGGCGAGUGGCGGACGGGUGAGGAAUACAUCGGAAUCUACUUUUUCGUGGGGGAUAACGUAGGGAAACUUACGCUAAUACCGCAUACGACCUACGGGUGAAAGCAGGGGAUCUUCGGACCUUGCGCGAUUGAAUGAGCCGAUGUCGGAUUAGCUAGUUGGCGGGGUAAAGGCCCACCAAGGCGACGAUCCGUAGCUGGUCUGAGAGGAUGAUCAGCCACACUGGAACUGAGACACGGUCCAGACUCCUACGGGAGGCAGCAGUGGGGAAUAUUGGACAAUGGGCGCAAGCCUGAUCCAGCCAUACUGCGUGGGUGUAGAAGGCCUUCGGGUUGUAAAGCCCUUUUGUUGGGAAAGAAAAGCAGCAGGUUAAUACCCCGCUGUUCUGACGGUACCCAAAGAAUAAGCACCGGCUAACUUCGUG